UCACAAGGUCUUUAAGGUCUCUGUUCACAGUAAGAUUCUAUAGCUCUAUAGGUCAGUUAACAAAAAAAGGGAUUAACCUUCCCAACCUUCCACCAUGGGCAAGACAGAAAAUACUGAAGCCAGAGGGUCUCAGCUGGGAGUUUGGGAGGAGCAAGGAUUCUACUCUGUGACAUCACAAUAUUCAGCCCAGGCUCCAACUUGGCCACUGAGAAGAAAGUAACAGGAGGUUCAGCUAUUGAUAUAUUAGAGGCAGGACACUACCGGACAGAGCUAGAAGGAAUCAGCUAGCCAUGCCUCCAGUUCAGAGGGAUAACCAAUUGGCUGAUGAAGUAACAAAUGAAAAGUAAUCUAACUCCACUGACCCGCUUAACCCUGGAUGAGAACAAUGGAAAGGAGUAGCCUUUUGCUUUGAAACAGUGGAACAGCCUGAGAAAAUGGCAUGUAACAUACCUAACCAAAGACAGCGGACUAUGUCUACAUCUGGAGAAGCUCUAUAUGAAGUCCUUGGUCUGCAAAAGGGAGCAUCAAAUGAAGAAAUAAAGAAAACUUACAGACUAUGGAGAGAGCACCAAUGUCCAUCAACUGAUGAAUGGAUAAAGAAGAUGUGGUGUAUAUAUACAAUGGAAUAUUACUCAGCCAUCAAGAAAAAACUGGCCUUGAAACAUCAUCCAGACAAGAAUCCAGAUGAUCCAGCUGCUGCUGAAAAGUUUAAAGAAAUCAACAACGCCCACACAAUACUUACCGACAUGUCAAAGAGAAACAUAUAUGACAAGUAUGGAUCACUGGGACUCUAUGUGGCUGAGCAAUUUGGAGAUGAAAAUGUUAAUACCUACUUCAUGCUGUCAAGCUGGUGGGCAAAGACCCUGUUUGUCAUCAUUGGACUCUUCACUGGCUGUUAUUUUUGCUGCUGCCUGUGCUGCUGUUGCAACUGCUGCUGUGGACGCUGCCGGCCCAAAUCAUCAGUGCCAGAAGAGGACUUUUAUGUGUCCCCAGAGGAUCUUGAGGAGCAGAUCAAGACUGACAUGGAAAAAGAUGUGGACUUUCCAGUUGUUCUCCAGCCUACAAAUGCAAAUGAGAAAACACAGCUAAUCAGAGAAGAACCUCGAAGUUAUUGCACAGACUCUUAAUAUUGAGACCACUGAGGGUCCACAAUACAUCUUCUUGGUUCAACCAUGUCUCCAGGUUAGGGAAAGAUGAUUGCUACAUAAUUUUCUCAGUAAGCAGUCUCACUCUUUGAGUAGAAUUCCUAAUGAAACACACUCCAUUUUGAUGAAUAAAAGCCUGAAGAGUUAUUUUAUGCUCCUUGCAUGAGGUAAGACAGUAGUACUGGACAGGCUUCAUGAGCCUGCCCUUUAUGUGACCCAGACCUAAUUCCUUACUGUAGUAUUCCAAACAGAAGCCACUUUUCAUCUAUUUAACUGAAUUGCAAUAUUCCUAUCUGCCACAAAUAUCAUCAGCAAAACAUAUAUGAGAAUUUAAGAGGAAUCUUGUGUAUGUGUGGAGAAUUUUCCCUGUCAAUAUUCAAUAUGGCUAGAAAAAUAUUUCAAGAGGCAGGAAGAAAUUAUUAGGUAAAAAAGAGAAAUCACUUAAUUUUGAAGUAUAUCUUUGAAAGAUUAAAAACUGUCAUUUGCUAGAAAUUGUUGAGUAAAACCAAGAAGAAAGGUUUUGUGUGUACUUUUAGAUUGGCACAAAAACAAAAACAAAAUAUCAACCUGGUUAAGUUUAUGGUUUUUCUGGAUCCAGAAAAAUUCCCAAACCAGCCCUAAAAAUGUGUUGACCACUUUUUUAAGUAAAAAUAAUUUUUCUACAACUGACCUAAAUUAGACAAAGUGAGGAAAAGAAACAUAUAGGGUAAAAGGUAGAAUUCUGAAUUCUACAGCCUAACUUUAGACUUAAAGGCAUAUCAUUUACCCCUUUUUGGGUGGGAUUAAUUACACUGAUCAGAAAGUGCUCAGCUCUGUGCAUGUUGAACAAUUAAGCUCAAAGGUCAUGUCUGCAUUUACUGUUUGAUCUUUAUAUUCAUUAUGUGAUCAAAACCAUGUGCUAAAACCAUGUUCUAAAAUAGUACAGAAAGUGUUUGUUUUUUCUUGGUUCUUUAUAUAAUAUUGCAGCUUUCAAGAUCUUAUUAUGUUUUUAUAUAAUACUGCAUGAAAUGCCAUUUCCUUUUUCUGUUUCUUAUUCUCCCCUACCACCAAAUUACAGUUAAAUGAGCCUAAAUAUACAUUGUAAGUGAAAAUUGGUAUUAUAACUCUGUCAGUUAUGAGGUCAUUAAAACUCUACUUUAACUCUUGA